rnacentral:rRNA from 2 species
UUGAUGGUGCUUGCACCUGAUUGAUUUUGGUCGCCAACGAGUGGCGGACGGGUGAGUAACACGUAGGUAACCUGCCCAGAAGCGGGGGACAACAUUUGGAAACAGAUGCUAAUACCGCAUAACAGCGUUGUUCGCAUGAACAACGCUUAAAAGAUGGCUUCUCGCUAUCACUUCUGGAUGGACCUGCGGUGCAUUAGCUUGUUGGUGGGGUAACGGCCUACCAAGGCGAUGAUGCAUAGCCGAGUUGAGAGACUGAUCGGCCACAAUGGGACUGAGACACGGCCCAUACUCCUACGGGAGGCAGCAGUAGGGAAUCUUCCACAAUGGGCGCAAGCCUGAUGGAGCAACACCGCGUGAGUGAAGAAGGGUUUCGGCUCGUAAAGCUCUGUUGUUAAAGAAGAACACGUAUGAGAGUAACUGUUCAUACGUUGACGGUAUUUAACCAGAAAGUCACGGCUAACUACGUGCCAGCAGCCGCGGUAAUACGUAGGUGGCAAGCGUUAUCCGGAUUUAUUGGGCGUAAAGAGAGUGCAGGCGGUUUUCUAAGUCUGAUGUGAAAGCCUUCGGCUUAACCGGAGAAGUGCAUCGGAAACUGGAUAACUUGAGUGCAGAAGAGGGUAGUGGAACUCCAUGUGUAGCGGUGGAAUGCGUAGAUAUAUGGAAGAACACCAGUGGCGAAGGCGGCUACCUGGUCUGCAACUGACGCUGAGACUCGAAAGCAUGGGUAGCGAACAGGAUUAGAUACCCUGGUAGUCCAUGCCGUAAACGAUGAGUGCUAGGUGUUGGAGGGUUUCCGCCCUUCAGUGCCGGAGCUAACGCAUUAAGCACUCCGCCUGGGGAGUACGACCGCAAGGUUGAAACUCAAAGGAAUUGACGGGGGCCCGCACAAGCGGUGGAGCAUGUGGUUUAAUUCGAAGCUACGCGAAGAACCUUACCAGGUCUUGACAUCUUGCGCCAACCCUAGAGAUAGGGCGUUUCCUUCGGGAACGCAAUGACAGGUGGUGCAUGGUCGUCGUCAGCUCGUGUCGUGAGAUGUUGGGUUAAGUCCCGCAACGAGCGCAACCCUUGUUACUAGUUGCCAGCAUUAAGUUGGGCACUCUAGUGAGACUGCCGGUGACAAACCGGAGGAAGGUGGGGACGACGUCAGAUCAUCAUGCCCCUUAUGACCUGGGCUACACACGUGCUACAAUGGACGGUACAACGAGUCGCGAACUCGCGAGGGCAAGCAAAUCUCUUAAAACCGUUCUCAGUUCGGACUGCAGGCUGCAACUCGCCUGCACGAAGUCGGAAUCGCUAGUAAUCGCGGAUCAGCAUGCCGCGGUGAAUACGUUCCCGGGCCUUGUACACACCGCCCGUCACACCAUGAGAGUUUGUAACACCCAAAG